rnacentral:rRNA from 1 species
GUGAACGCUGGCGGUAGGCCUAACACCUGCAAGUCGAACGGCAGCACCGUAAUUGCUUGCUCUUACGGGUGGCGAGUGGCGGACUGGUGAGGAAUACAUCGGAAUCUACUUUUUCGUGGGGGAUAACGUAGGGAAACUUACGCUAAUACCGCAUACGACCUACGGGUGAAAGCAGGGGAUCUUCGGACCUUGCGCGAGUGAAUGAGCCGAUGUCGGAUUAGCUAGUUGGCGGGGUAAAGGCCCACCAAGGCGACGAUCCGUAGCUGGUCUGAGAGGAUGAUCAGCCACACUGGAACUGAGACACGGUCCAGACUCCGACGGGAGGCAGCAGGGGGGAAUAUUGGACAAUGGGCGCAAGCCUGAUCCAGCCAUACCGCGUGGGUGAAGAAGGCCUUCGGGUGGUAAAGCCCUUUUGUUGGGAAAGAAAAGCAGCAGGUUAAGACCCCGCUGUUCUGACGGUACCCAAAGAAUAAGCACCGGCUAACUUCGU